rnacentral:rRNA from 1 species
UACGUAGGGUGCGAGCGUUGUCCGGAAUUAUUGGGCGUAAAGGGCUCGUAGGCGGUCUGUCGCGUCGGGAGUGAAAACUCAGGGCUUAACCCUGAGCCUGCUUCCGAUACGGGCAGACUAGAGGUAUGCAGGGGAGAACGGAAUUCCUGGUGUAGCGGUGGAAUGCGCAGAUAUCAGGAGGAACACCGGUGGCGAAGGCGGUUCUCUGGGCCGAUACUGACGCUGAGGUGCGAAAGCGUGGGGAGCAAACAGG